rnacentral:lncRNA from 1 species
GGCAUUUUGUCCUCUGUUCAUAUUUAGGACUGAAACAUGUUUAUAAGAUCAUAAUGUCUCACUACAGUACACCCUGCCUGAAAUAAUGGUUGUGCCAAAAGUACCUACGGAUGUAGACAAUCAGUCAGCGUACCUCUUGAUCUUUACUAUUCUUUACACAGAAUAAGUCAAUUCAUCUAUGUUCCAUGCGAAUCACAUCCAUGGACAGUGAAUGUUCACAUAUACCAUUAACAGUUUGUUAAAUGAAAUAACCAAAAUAUGUAGAAUAUCAAAACUUGCCUCUUCUCAAUACUUUAGACAAGUGUGGUUAAAAAUCAAAUAAUUAUUAUAUUGCGGCCUUAAACAGCCAUUGCAUUGGAGGUGAAAGGAAGCCCCGAAAGUUAAUAUUUUGUGUUGGGAAAGUAUGGUAUUUAAUGAAAGGUUAUGAAGAAAAAGGACAAGCAUUUGGGGAAGGUCACCCAAUUUUGUGAAAAUUAUAUAUUUUUUACAUCAGUGGAAAAAAAAAAUCACAUUCAACACUAGUUUGAAGACAUCAGUGGAAACAAAAUGACAUUUGAAGACCAAUUUGCUGAUAUUUAAUACAUUGUGAACUGAUGUUGGUCACUGUAAAAGUGGGCAUUAAAGGUGUUCCGGGAUAUUUUUGAAUGCAGGGUGAAUUGCUGUUGAAGAUGUAUCAGUAGAACUCACACUGGUUCAUUGAAACAUUUGUCUGGUUUUGACACAUUUCAGAUGAAGCUUCUAUUAUGUAAUAGUUGAAUAUAUAUACGAUAAUAGAUAUGAUACAUCCAUGGUUUGUACUUUUUAUGGAGUGGUCAGAUGGUCGAAGAGGGGACUCCAUAUACAGCUAUUAAAACUGGGACAUCUUCUACCCUGUCCACAAGCCAACCCUUCUUUGAGCUUCUCUAAUCAUAGGCAUGAAAACCUGCCUUAUAUACAGAGAUAUACGGUAACCCUACUGCCAUAUCAAUGUCAUAUCAUUGCUAGAUCUCAAACAAUCUCACAUAUCAAAACUUCAAUUCAAACAAUACAGAAUCAAAUGAAUUGUGGAAUGACAUUUAUUUUAACUUUGAAUGUUAUGUUUUAAGAACAGGUGCCAGAACCUGUAGCUAUCUUGACAUGUCUGCUAUUACCCUGGCACUGAUGCAUGCUGGGAAAGUUAGGAGGACAACAUGGGAGGUAACUCUGAGUAUUGUUGCUUUAUACAAACGUCUUCAAACAAGGUGUAUAUGGGGUAAGAGUGAGUUGUGGAGUGGAAAGGUCAUUUGUACUUCAUUUAUCUCUCUAUCAAUACUGAUAAAUUGUGAUGGGCGUGUUCAAUCAAAUAUCAACUGUUGAUAGUUGUAGUGCAUUGACAAUUGCAAUUGUUCUGCCCUAAUUAGCAUACAAUAUAGGUAUAACGAAAUGUGUUUGUUGUUUAGAGACAUGAGGGAAGAACAGUAUGUGUCCUGCAUGCUCAUGUUAGUAAAAUACUGUACAAUGAGAGUAUUAUAGGCUUUAUAGAAGUUAGAUGUAACCAUGACAAGGACUUAUAGAGAUGUCAAGAGUGAGUAGCCCUGAAACAUAGUGUAUGAUGAUGUUGUUAUCCCCAAUACUCCUUGUCAAAAUACUUAACAUCGGAACAUCUUGGUAAACAGCAUGUGAUCCACUUCUGUAAGAAUAUCUGUGUAUGUAUAAACUAAGGGACCGUUCAUAAUUUAUGGCUGUGAGUGGAUGGGGUGGUGAUGAUGAUUUUAAGGGAGGUUCUGUUGAGGUAGGGGGGUCAUCAAUUUUUUACACAUGUACUAUGGGGGUCAGUAACAAUGUACAAAGAAUUAUUGAAACAUUAUGCUUAAAAAAUAUGGGAAGGGGGGGGGGAUUGAUUUUGUACAUGACAUGCAGGAGGGUCACUUACUCUGUACAUAAAUUUUAGGGGGGGUCAUUCACAUUGUACAUGCUUGUCCAUAAAAAUCAUCACACACACACACACCCAUACCCCACCAGCCAUAAAUUACGGUCCCUAACAUGAUGUCAAAGAUUGUGUUAUGGUUGGAGUGCCAACAAUAUAGCAAAGCAUAUUGAAUAAAGCCAACAUAUAUUUUAUAACUGUAGUCACGGAAUCAAAAUAGUUGUCUCAUGAAUGAUGAUGGGUGAUAUUGAGAAGAAUGGUUGCCAUAUGAUCUCAUGUUUGGAUGUGUAAUAUAUUAUAUUCGGUGUAAUUUGAAGAGCAAGUUGUAGCUGGAAUUUAAUGCCUGGGAAGUCAUGUCCAGGACAUUUUUAAAGUUAACAAAAUGCAAUAUACUACUUUUUGAGAUGUAUACAAAGAUUGUUCAUUCUAUUUACACAAUAGUUUAGUUUGGUACAGUUUGGUGUACUAUAAAAUGAGUAAACCUUAUCAAAAGUUGAGUAGCAUACAUUGUGUUUUGUUACACCAUAUUUUUCACAAAGCAGUUGAAGAACUUUCACUUCCAAAUAUUGGGCAUGGAUGCUCAUUCACAGGUGCUGCAAUUCCCUGUGCAGAGUUGUCUCCCUUGGCCAUGCCAAAUCCUAUGAUCGUUAGUUUGAAUCCCAGUUCUGCCCAAAUUGUGUCAGCACAUAUCUUUUCCCAUUUGUUUCGCCGGAGUUGUAAAUAUGUGAGACCUACAUAAAUCACACAGGCUAUCUUCCCACAAUAAGCUUACAUGCCAGGACAAAACUGGAAUACGGAAAGAGGCGUUAAGCCGAACUCACUCAUUUCAAAAGGCACAAGAAUUUUGCUUUCUAUUGUUUUCAUGGUUUGCAAGAUGUAACAGAUCAUUCAUUACUGAAACAUCAAAGCAUGAGUGUUAUUGUUGGCGUGUGUGAGUUGAUGACUUCAGCCCUGUCUCUGCUGCACACCAGGAUGAUUGUAUGAUAGUAUCUGCCUGGAAUGCUUUUUGAAUGGAGGCCCUGUGUCAACUUGUCACAAAUAUCACUGUUUCUACUUAUUAAAAGGUUUACAAGUUCA